AAAAAAAAAUCUUUGGCCCAUUUAGGUGGGAUUUUUACAUGACAACAUAUAUGGAAAUAAAACACAUGUGCUCUGCAGCAAGCGCCCCUCUCUCUUCCAACAGCCCAGCCUGGUCAUUGUAUCACUGGAGUGCACGACCCCAUCAGAACAAAGUGGUCAGAAAAAUAAAUACAGAGUUUUAAAAAUGGACAGCUAAGCUUGUCAUUACAGCCCAGAGGCAGUGGUGGGUCUUUUCAUUCCAUGAUGCUUUAUUUUUACAUUAAAUACUGAAGACAAUUCAGUGCAUAAUUGCUUUUUGGUCACUCAGACACUUUCAAUAAAGGCACACCCAUCUAAAGGGCAGACUGUGUUCAACCUAGCACCUGUCACCCACAGCAUCUUCAUCAGUCACCGAGAUGAUGUGGCCUACCAUGUCCAUCUACCUCCAUCUCUUCUGGGAAGGAACGUGGUUCUCUCUUGCCAGGUGGGACUGGGAAGCACUCCCAGGGCCUGCUGGCACUGCACUCUCCUGACCAUUCUGAGGUUAUUUCUAUUUCUCAAGCUUUGUUCCUUCAUCAGUGGUAAACGUCAUGCCCUCCUUGCUGUCAGCCUGGAUAAGCAGCAGUCCUGAGGCACAGCUUACCCUUCAUUCUGCAGCAACUGCUCCAGACACCUCACAUUUAACCACAACAUCCCUUGCUCCCCAUUUCUCACACACAUACAUGUGUGUAUACACACACACACACACACACACACACACACUUUUCUUUUGUUGCUUAAUGAUACGAAGAAGGUGGUCUGACUGGGGGGGAUCCAGGCCAGCUGCCCUCAGGAGGGAACUGGUCUUUCUAGGGGGAAGGAAACCAUAGGAAACACUUUUUCAGGUCACCCACUCCAUAAACUUGGAAGGGAGUAAGACACUCAUGAUUCUACCUGCAGACCCGACACAGUAAAUCUUCCCCACGGUCUCCCUUUCACUUAGGGCCCUGCAUUGUUAAGGCACUGGGUUUUGACAACUUGCUCUGUCAGUAAAACUAAACAUGUGUGGCAUACUACUUGCUUCAAGCACGGAGAGGCAAAUGAGGACAGGGUUACCCACAGCAACAAAAACUGUUUCCAAAAGCACAGCGUUUCAGUUAGUGCAUUAUAUAUGCAUCAGCUACAAAAGGUCCCCAUCUCCAAAGCUCAGAUGCUUUCCUCUCUGAACAAAACAAGCUCCGGUUAAAGUAAAUGCCCGUUUAAGUACCAGGUAUUUGGUCACCACCAAGGAAACGUGCCACUCGCAUUUCCAAUGUGUGAAGUCACAACCCCACUACUCCCUUAAUUAGCUCA
rnacentral:lncRNA from 1 species